AUGGCCUCCAAUAGGGCCCCAGGUCCUGAUAAUAUCCCGGUAGAAUUCUACCAGGUAUGUUGGGAUAUAGUUAAGAAGGAUAUCAUGGCCUUGUUUAGGCACUUUCAUCGAGGGGAGUUGGAUGUUCAGCGGUUGAAUUAUGGGAUUAUGACGCUGCUCCCGAAGCUCUCCGGGGCUGACAAAAUCCAACACUUCAGACCCAUAUGUUUGCUUAGAUGCCCAUAUAAGCUCAUCACAAAAGUCCUAGAUCGCCGGGUUUCGAUGUAUGCUGAUAAGCUAAUUAGCCCAGUCCAGAAUGCCUUUGUCAAAGGGAGGAGCAUCAUGGAUGGUGUUCUAUCGCUUCAUGAGAUCCUAAACUACACGCAUGUGAAAAAAAGGGUUGGCAUGGUGUUGAAACUGGACUUUGAAAAGGCGUAUGAUAAGGUUAACUGGGACUUCUUGCUAGAGUGUCAUAAGCUGCGGGGAUUCAAUGAAACCUGGUGUGGGUGGAUUAACCAGACCCUUCGGAAGGGCACGGUUAGCAUUAAAUUGAAUAAUUGUGUGGGUCCGUAUUUCCAAAGUGCUAAAGGGGUGCGGCAAGGCGACCCCCACUCCCCAUUCCUGUUUAACUUAGCUGCUGAAUGUCUCACGAAGAUGAUUAAAAAU
rnacentral:rRNA from 1 species